ensembl:lncRNA
AGUGGAUCUUUGGGGGAUGGGAUGGAGUGGGAUUCUUCUUGGUGUUCCCCUUUUCUCCCUGGGAAAUCUUUGUGGGCAUGCAAUCCUGAAAAGCAAACCAGCUUGGUUUAGAGGUGGGGAAUGGAGCCCCCUAGUACUGUGAAGGAUGAAGGGCCCUACAACCAAUUAGGAGAAACCUCCACUAGGGCAAAGGAAUAAAUAUCUGGCUCCUUUGGAGUCCAAAAACCCAGCACCUUAAAAGAGCUGCCUGAACCUCUCCAAGAGGCAGCAGGAGAAUAAGUGUCUGGCAGCCCAAUUGAAUUUUGAAUCUAGUUUCUGCUCCUUCCCCUCCCCAGGGAAUUGAGUCAGCUCUGCACUGGGGUCUUGGCUCAAAUUGGCCCUUCAGGCCCCUCUCAGAGGCCAAUGGGCAGUACCAGCCUGCCAUUUUCUCAGGACUCCCACAGCUGCCAAGGCUGUUCUGGAUUUUUAGUGCUGCUCACUUCCUUCCCACUCUUCCUCUGCCUUCUUAGGCACAUGCUCCUGCUUGCCUCAAGCCUAUCAACAAGUCAUCCCACUUUUUCUGUUUUCACUUCUACUGACAGAUUUUAUGUGGCUGGACAGGGGCAGCAGUCACAGCCCAUUCACCCCUCAGCCUCUUGACCAUGUAGACCCUUUGUAGCCCCAGGGGCUAGUCGGUGGGCUGUGUGGCUUCCAGCCUGCUGCCCCCUCCCUCCUGCUGAACCAGUUUGAUCUUAUUUUUCUUUUCCCUGUCCCCCAGCAUCGUGCCCCACCUAUGUAAAUAUUAAUAUAUUCCGUUUGUCUCCAUGGUGUGCUGUGUCUCACAUCCAGCUUGGGCCCAGAGGGCAGAACCAGGUGCAUUGGUGGGGAAGCUGCAAAGAGGCAGCUUUAAAGUCUCCGUGUAUGGAAGAACUCUCAUAAUAGAGCUGUCCAAAAGUAGAAUAGGAACAUGGGGACCUUGUGAGCUCCCCAUCACUCGAGGACACCAUGCAGCAUUUGGAUGAUCACCUAUAUUGUAUAGUAUAGAAAGGAAUCCUGCUUAGGUAGAGACGGGAUUCAGUAUCCUUGGAAGUCCCUUGCCAGCUUCAGUGGUAUUAGAUGUUAGAGAGGAAGCCUCUGCCAUUGGUCUUACCAGUGAUCUCCCUCUUUCUGAGCCUGGUAAGAUAGUUGGCAGAAGUAGGAAGUGACCUGGAUUUGGAACAGCUUUUCAACUCCAGUUGAAUUCCAGUCCCUAGGGGGUCUUUGGGAUCAACUCCCCCUCUCCCCCCCAUCCAUCAAGGUUAGUAGCUGCCCAGGCUCAGGAAAGUCCUCAGAGGCUGCUGCCUCUUGUUUAACAGGGACCAGUUAUGAUGGCAUUGUAACAGUUCUGAGCCUUAAGAUUGGCUAGCCCCAUCUGACUUCUUUGGAACCCUCCUGAGGUCCCUUGCAAAUGAGGGGGUUGAACUUGAUCCUGUCCAAGAUCCCUUCCAGCUCUAAAUCCCAUAAUUCUACAAUUUGCCGUAAGAGGAUUAGAGUAGGAUUGUCUAGAAAAAAUUUGAUACGGUGCCCAUACACAACCAUACUUCUUCAUCUUUGGGAACUCCUCUUCAUCCCCCACCCCAGCCAAAAUGGCCCAUUUGGAGCUAAAAUUCCACUUCUGAAAUGCUAGUUGUUCUGCCAUGGACCAAGAAAGCCUAAUAGGAGAGAGGGAGUGAGGAACUCCAGAAUCUCAUGUCGUCAUCUCUAAAGUGAGAGGACCUAAAUGGUCUCCAAAGGACUUUCCAGCUCUGUCAUUGUGUGUUCUAAGUUUCAUCUCAGUUCUGAAAGUUAGCUGUUAGCUAGCAUUUUGAGAUAGAAGGAACCUUAGAGAUCAGAUGAGGAUACAGACCUGCAGGGUAAAAUUACGAAGGCCCUUUCCAGCUCGAACAUUAUGUUCUAAAGUUCCUUCUGGCUCAAAGUUUGAGAGUUUUUGAUAGACUGUAGGACCCCGAUCCCAGACUUGCAGGAUCUGGGAGAGGAAGAAGGGUUAUUGGACAUUCUCAACAAUGUACCCCCCUCACUCUCCUUACUCUGCUCUCAGCCUUAAUAUCUGCUUCUCUGGACCAUUUACCCAGGUUGCCAGGUACACACAAGCUAUCUUCAUCCCACACACUAAGAGAGAGUUCACUUUUAUUUCCUCCUUUAAUAAAAAGUUUCU